rnacentral:rRNA from 1 species
AUACGUAGGGUGCAAGCGUUAAUCGGAAUUACUGGGCGUAAAGCGUGCGCAGGCGGUUUUGUAAGACAGUGGUGAAAUCCCCGGGCUCAACCUGGGAACUGCCAUUGUGACUGCAAGGCUGGAGUGCGGCAGAGGGGGAUGGAAUUCCGCGUGUAGCAGUGAAAUGCGGAGAUAUGCGGAGGAACACCGAUGGCGAAGGCACUCCCCUGGGCCUGCUGUGACGCUCAUGCACGAAAGCGUGGGGAGCAAACAGGAUUAGAUGCCCUGGUAGUCCGCGCCCUAAACGAUGUCAACUGGUUGUUGGGGAUUUAUUUUCUCAGUAACGAAGCUAACGCGUGAAGUUGACCGCCUGGGGAGUACGGCCGCAAGGUUAAAACUCAAAGGAAUUGACGGGG